rnacentral:rRNA from 1 species
CUAAUACAUGCAAGCCGAACGGUAACAGGUUCUUCGGAACGCUGACGAGUGGCGGACGGGUGCGCAACGCGGUAUGCAACUUGCCCACUACUGGGAAAUAGCCCGGGGAAACUCGGAUUAAUGUCCCAUAAUGCAGGGGAUUCGCAUGGAUCUAUUGUUAAAGAUUUAUUGGUAGUGGAUGGGCAUGCGUAGGAUUAGCUAGUUGGUAGUGUAAUGGACUACCAAGGCUACGAUCCUUAGGGGGUCUGAGAGGAUGAUCCCCCACACUGGUACUGAGAUACGGACCAGACUCCUACGGGAGGCAGCAGUAGGGAAUAUUGGGCAAUGGGUGAGAGCCUGACCCAGCCAUGCCGCGUGCAGGAAGACGGCCCUCAGGGUUGUAAACUGCUUUUCUACGGGAAGAAAGAGGUCGUGCGCAACCAGUUGACGGUACCGUAGGAAUAAGCACCGGCUAACUCCGUGCCAGCAGCCGCGGUAAUACGGAGGGUGCAAGCGUUGUCCGGAUUUAUUGGGUUUAAAGGGUACGUAGGCGGGCGUCUAAGUCAGUGGUGAAAGCCUACCGCUUAACGGUGGAAUUGCCAUUGAUACUGGAUGUCUUGAGUAUAGUAGAGGUGGGCGGAAUUCAUGGUGUAGCGGUGAAAUGCAUAGAUACCAUGAGGAACACCGAUAGGGAAGCCAGCUCACUAGACUAUUACUGACGCUAAGGUACGAAAGCGUGGGGAGCGAACAGGAUUAGAUACCCUGG